GCGCAGCAGGCGAGAAUUUUUCUCAAUGGGGGCAACCCUGAAGGAGCGACGCCGCGUGGAGGAUGAAGGCUUUCGGGUUGUAAACUCCUGUCAUUUGAGAACAAGUGUAGCCAAGUAACUACUGGCUACUUGAUAGUAUCAGAAGAGGAGGGACGGCUAACUCUGUGCCAGCAGCCGCGGUAAUACAGAGGUCCCGAGCGUUUGUUCGGAUUCAUUGGGCGUAAAGGGUGCGUAGGUGGCGUGGUAAGUC
rnacentral:rRNA from 1 species